rnacentral:rRNA from 1 species
CCAACGCUGGCGGCACGCUAAUCAUGCAGUCGAGCGCGCCUUCGGGUGAGCGGCGGACGGGUUAGUAACGGAACGUGCCCUUCUCUACGGAAUAGCCUCUGGAAACGGAGAGUAAUACCGUAUACGCCCUUUGGGGGAAAGAUUUAUCGGAGAAGGAUCGGCCCGCGUUAGAUUAGGUAGUUGGUGGGGUAACGGCCUACCAAGCCUACGAUCUAUAGCUGGUUUUAGAGGAUGACUCAGCAACCUGGGACUGAGACACGCCAGACUCCUACGGAGCACGUGGGGAAUCUUAACAUGGGGCACCCUUGAUCUACCAUGCCGGUAGUCUAAGGCCUACGUCCACGCUCUUCGCCUUGAUGAUA